rnacentral:rRNA from 1 species
UACGUAGGGGCCUAGCGUUGUCCGGAUUUAUUGGGCGUAAAGAGCGUGUAGGCGGCCAGGUAGGUCUGGUGUGAAAACUCGAGGCUUAACCUCGAGAUGUCAUCGGAAACCAUCUGGCUAGAGUCCGGAAGAGGAGAGUGGAAUUCCUGGUGUAGCGGUGAAAUGCGUAGAUAUCAGGAGGAACACCUGCGGUGUAGACGGCUUACUGGACGGUAACUGACGCUGAGGCACGAAAGCGUGGGUAGCAAACAGG